GUGCCCUUAAGAUGUGUUAUGAAGAUGCUAUGCAAAGAGACAAGAUAUCCAAGUAUUUUUUUUUAUUUCUAAUGUCACUAUAUGUAUUAUGCAAAUUUUUUUUUAACAUUGAAAUAAUCACACCAACGAUCUUCGACAAUGAUGUCAAAAUUUGAUCGUUGUUAUGGACGGUCAAAAAUAAAACCUCACUCAAACUAUAUAGAUAG
rnacentral:lncRNA from 1 species